GUAGCAAUCAAUAUAAUGACCGGAUGAAAAGUCCAAAUAGUAAAUAACUCAGUCCAAAGGUGCAAACGUCCAAAUAAUGCACAAAGGGUUAAGGGAUAUAUAUCAUAAACCACCUUUGAUCUGUUAGAAUAAAUAUAACAGAAUCAGCUGAGGUAUUUAUGAAUUGCUCUACUUUCAAAUAGACAAAAGAAGAAAGAUAGGAGUGAACACAUCAGCAUACAGAUACUAGGCUUGUUGGUAUCAAA